UACGAAGGGGGCUAGCGUUGCUCGGAAUCACUGGGCGUAAAGGGUGCGUAGGCGGGUCUUUAAGUCAGGGGUGAAAUCCUGGAGCUCAACUCCAGAACUGCCUUUGAUACUGAAGAUCUUGAGUUCGGGAGAGGUGAGUGGAACUGCGAGUGUAGAGGUGAAAUUCGUAGAUAUUCGCAAGAACACCAGUGGCGAAGGCGGGUCUCUGGGCCGAUACUGACGCUGAGGAGCGAAAGC
rnacentral:rRNA from 1 species